AGUUGUGGCCAUGGUAAAAUUGUACAGAGCAUCCAUCAUUUCUUGCACAUUAUCAGUUAUGUUUCUCCUUUCUUUCGGGGAAGAGGAGCCCAAGCAGCUGUGUGGCCUGCAGUGAGGGGGUUUGAGACUGUAUGGACCCAGAUGACCUGAGCUGGCACAGAAGGGCUGGAUUCCAUGCGUGGCCGUGUCGAACGCCUAAACACCUAUGAUGAAGAUAAUAAUAAUAAUUAUAACAAUAUUAAUAAUAAUAAUAAACAACUUUGUAACGCUUAAUA